AUGUCUACAAAAAUUCAUCUGACCCCAUUACUGACCCCAUUACACUCGCAGGAAACGAAUGUCAUCAUUGAAGAAUUUUGUCCUUCUGACCUAUUUGAGUACAGUCUGAGAAGAUGCAUUGUAGAACACUUUGGAAAUUUGUCCAUGCUGACCUUCAUGGUAACACAAAAGAUGAAGGAGUGUGUGUCUUCAGGAAGGUCUCGUUCAGCGGGAUUGCAUAGGUGAGUUUUUAUUUUUGAAACAUCUCCUCUACUGAGUGACCAUUCCAGUUUGAAACUUGAUACAGUUUCUUAUGAUAUACCAUAAAUUACUAUCAAGAGUCUUUUUAGCUGGAAUGUGAACUAACAAAAAUUAACUUUUACUUUUAAAUACUAUACGUUUUAGCUCUACA
rnacentral:lncRNA from 1 species